rnacentral:misc_RNA from 1 species
GAUGAAGAACGCAGCAAAAUGCGAUAAGUAAUGUGAAUUGCAGAAUUCAGUGAAUCAUCGAAUCUUUGAACGCACAUUGCGCCCGCCAGUAUUCUGGCGGGCAUGCCUGUUCGAGCGUCAUUUCAACCCUCAAGCACAGCUUGGUGUUGGGACUCGCGUUAAUUCGCGUUCCUCAAAUUGAUUGGCGGUCACGUCGAGCUUCCAUAGCGUAGUAGUAAAACCCUCGUUACUGGUAAUCGUCGCGGCCACGCCGUUAAACCCCAGCUUCUGAAUGUUGACCUCGGAUCAGGUAGGAAUACCCGCUGAACUUAAGCAUAUCAAUAACGGAGGA